CACGGGGGGAGCAAGCGUUGUUCGGAAUCACUGGGCGUAAAGGGCGUGUAGGCGGUCAAGUAAGUGGAAUGUGAAAGCCCCCGGCUUACCCGGGGAUCUGCAUCCCAAACUGCUUGGCUUGAGUAUGGGAGAGGUGAGUGGAAUUUCCGGUGUAGCGGUGAAAUGCGUAGAUAUUACCAGGAACACCAAUGGCGAAGGCAGCUCGCUGGGACGGUACUGACGCUGAGACGCGAAAGCGUGGGGAGCAAACAGG
rnacentral:rRNA from 1 species